GAUGAACGCUGGCGGCGUGCCUAAUACAUGCAAGUCGAGCGAACGGACGAGAAGCUUGCUUCUCUGAUGUUAGCGGCGGACGGGUGAGUCACACGUGGAUAACCUACCUAUAAGACUGGGAUAACUUCGGGAAACCGGAGCUAAUACCGGAUAAUAUUUUGCACCGCAUGGUUCAAAAGUGAAAGACGGUCUUGCUGUCACUUAUAGAUGGAUCCGCGCUGCAUUAGCUAGUUGGUAAGGUAACGGCUUACCAAGGCAACGAUGCAUAGCCGACCUGAGAGGGUGAUAGGCGACACUGGAACUGAGACACGGUCCAGACGCCUACGGGAGGCAGCAGUAGGGAAUCGUCCGCAAUGGGCGAAAGCCUGACGGAGCAACGCCGCGUGAGUGAUGAAGGUCUUCGGAUCGGAAAACUCUGUUAUUAGGGAAGAACAUAUGUGUAAGGAACUGUGCACAUCUUGACGGUACCUAAUCAGAAAGCCACGGCUAACUACGUG
rnacentral:rRNA from 1 species